GGGGAUGACGUCAAGUCACUCAUGGCCCUUACGGCCUGGGCUACACACGUGCUACAAUGGUCCGGUACAAAGGGUUGCCAAGCCGCGAGGUGGAAGCUAAUACCCAUAAACCGAUCGUAGUCCGGAUCGCAGUCUGCAACUCGACUGCGUGAAGUCGGAAUCGCUAGUAAUCGUGAAUCAGAAUGUCACGGUGAAUACGUUCCCGGGCCUU
rnacentral:rRNA from 1 species